ACCCGACUGCUAUCGGAUUGAGAUUUAGCCAUGCGAGUCGAACGCUUCCCUGUUGCGGGAAGCGUGGCGUACGGCUCAGUAACACGUAGUCAACCUGCCCUGAAGACACGCAUAACCCCGGGAAACUGGGAUUAAUUCGUGAUAGGCCAUCUCAUCUGGAAGGAGAGAUGACUUAAAGGGAUGCGAGAGCUUCUUUCUUGUAUCCGCUUCAGGAUGGGACUGCAGCCGAUCAGGCUGUUGGUGGGGUAAUGGCCCACCAAACCUGUAACCGGUACGGGCCUUGAGAGAGGGGGCCCGGAGAUGGACACUGAGAGAAGGGUCCAGGUCCUACGGGGCGCAGCAGGCGCGAAACCUUCACAGUGCGCGAAAGCGUGAUGAGGUUAAUCCGAGUGGUCCCCGCUGAGGGGAUCUUUUGUCGGCUGUAAAAAGGCCGGUGAAUAAGGGGAGGGCAAGUCUGGUGUCAGCCGCCGCGGUAAUACCAGCUCCUCGAGUGGUCGGGGCGAUUAUUGGGCCUAAAGCAUCCGUAGCCUGUUCUGCAGGUCCACUGUUAAAUCCAACGGCUUAACCGUUGGCCCGCAGUGGAUACCACAGGACUAGGAGGCGGGAGAGGUGGACGGUACUCCACGUGUAGGGGUAAAAUCCUUUGAUCCGUGGAAGACCACCAGUGGCGAAAGCGGUCCACCAGAACGCGCUCGACGGUGAGAGGAUGAAAGCUGGGGGAGCGAGCCGGAUUAGAUACCCGGGUAGUCCCAGCCGUAAACGAUGCGAGCUAGAUGAUCCGGUCGCAAAUCGCGAUCGGAGUGUCGCAGGAAGCCGUUAAGCUCGCGCCUGGGGAGUACGGUCGCAGACUGAAACUUAA
rnacentral:rRNA from 1 species